rnacentral:rRNA from 1 species
ACAGGAAGAAGCUUGCUUCUUUGCUGACGAGUGGCGGACGGGUGAGUAAUGUCUGGGAAACUGCCUGAUGGAGGGGGAUAACUACUGGAAACGGUAGCUAAUACCGCAUAACGUCGCAAGACCAAAGAGGGGGACCUUCGGGCCUCUUGCCAUCGGAUGUGCCCAGAUGGGAUUAGCUAGUAGGUGGGGUAACGGCUCACCUAGGCGACGAUCCCUAGCUGGUCUGAGAGGAUGACCAGCCACACUGGAACUGAGACACGGUCCAGACUCCUACGGGAGGCAGCAGUGGGGAAUAUUGCACAAUGGGCGCAAGCCUGAUGCAGCCAUGCCGCGUGUAUGAAGAAGGCCUUCGGGUUGUAAAGUACUUUCAGCGGGGAGGAAGGGAGUAAAGUUAAUACCUUUGCUCAUUGACGUUACCCGCAGAAGAAGCACCGGCUAACUCCGUGCCAGCAGCCGCGGUAAUACGGAGGGUGCAAGCGUUAAUCGGAAUUACUGGGCGUAAAGCGCACGCAGGCGGUUUGUUAAGUCAGAUGUGAAAUCCCCGGGCUCAACCUGGGAACUGCAUCUGAUACUGGCAAGCUUGAGUCUCGUAGAGGGGGGUAGAAUUCCAGGUGUAGCGGUGAAAUGCGUAGAGAUCUGGAGGAAUACCGGUGGCGAAGGCGGCCCCCUGGACGAAGACUGACGCUCAGGUGCGAAAGCGUGGGGAGCAAACAGGAUUAGAUACCCUGGUAGUCCACGCCGUAAACGAUGUCGACUUGGAGGUUGUGCCCUUGAGGCGUGGCUUCCGGAGCUAACGCGUUAAGUCGACCGCCUGGAGAGUACGGCCGCAAGGUUAAAACUCAAAUGAAUUGACGGGGGCCCGCACAAGCGGUGGAGCAUGUGGUUUAAUUCGAUGCAACGCGAACAACCUUACCUGGUCUUGACAUCCACGGAAGUUUUCAGAGAUGAGAAUGUGCCUUCGGGAACCGUGAGACAGGUGCUGCAUGGCUGUCGUCAGCUCGUGUUGUGAAAUGUUGGGUUAAGUCCCGCAACGAGCGCAACCCUUAUUCUUUGUUGCCAGCGGUCCGGCCGGGAACUCAAAGGAGACUGCCAGUGAUAAACUGGAGGAAGGGGGGGAUGACGUCAAGUCAUCAUGGCCCUUACA